rnacentral:lncRNA from 1 species
AACUCAUGUGCACUCCCUACACGCACAAUGCAAUAUCAUCAUCAUCAUCAUCAGCUCAUGUGCACUCCCACACCGCACGUAGCUGGGUCCUUAUUUUCACACAAAAGGAGCAUCCAAAGCAUAAUAUACAUAUCAAUAUAAUGUGAAAAUUCAUGAACUAUUCAUAUUGCACAUUUCACAAGAUAGAAACAUUUCAUCAAUGGCUUGUUCCCCAAGUAUAUUUUUAAAGCAAAAAUGAAUGAAACUUUCAAAUGAUUUAUUUAAACAUGUAGGCACUUCCCAAAACAUUUUGAAAUGCAAGUUCACUCAACGGUAUUUGUUAAAUCUUUACCUAACUCAAACUUGCUCUAAUUGUCUAAAUGAGGCAGUGGGGCUUUGUUGGAACCUUGGUAGCUUUGUAAGUGAAUCCUUUCCAAGAAUUUUCAAGCUAUUAUGGAAGCUCUCUCUCUUUCUCUCUCUAAAAGACCUAACUAGUGAGAGAAAGUAUGGGAGUAAGACUUUUUAAGGGUUUUAAGGUGAGAAAGUGAAAGAGCAUGAAAAACACUAUAACAAGGUGUGUAAAAGCAUGAAAUUUAAGGUUAGUUUGAGAGGCUGAUGAAAGCUAAAGCUUUCAUGGAGGAUGAAAGAAAUGUGAGCUGGGAGGAAGAAGAAGAAGAAGCUGCUGAAAAAAUGAGGAAGCUGUUGGAGAUUAGAUAUUUAUAUCUAAAGUUUAUCCAAUUUCUCACAUAAAUUACCAAAAUGCCCUUAACAUUAUGGCUUUAUCUUCCUCCCAUCCUUUGUGCAACCUUUUUACUCUUUUGACAUUGAGACAAAGUCCAUAAUAGUCUAAAAAUACUCAAGUUCAUGAAAACGUAAAAAUUUAGACCCAAGAUGCAAAAUGACCAUUUUGACCCUACUAUGGAAAUUAUUAGUAUUUCUAUCUUCUUCAUUCAUUUUACCAUCAUUCAUCUAUUCCUUAGGCCUACUUAGACCUUAAUAACAUUAGAAAGCUACUUUCAUGAGCUCACCAUGAAAAAUGAUGAAAUUACCCUUAGUCCAUGUUAUCUCGUCAACUUCUACUUACAUGUCUACGAAGGUCAAGGUUUCAUAAUACGAGGGUACUAGGUUUCACAAGAGCGACUUGGAAUAAAGUGCUACGAGAUGCUUUUACCUAUUUACGAUAGACAACAUGUGCCGAUGAACACACACUAGGUCGAACACUAUCUGCAAAAGGGAAAUAAAGGGGUGACUCUCACAGACUCAGUAAUCAUCGGCUCCGUGAGUAGGAAGUAGAUGGGAAACAAGCUUAAGGCAGAUCAUUUGAAUGAUAAAUCCGAAAUAAAAGUAAUAAUCUUAGAAAAAUUAAAUCUCAAAUAGAGUGUUUUGCCUUGUAAAAAUGAUGCCGUAAAAUCAUCGUGCAAUAUUUCACUUGGCAAAACGAUGCUGAAAACAAGUGUAGCGAAACCAAGUUCAAUCAUAGCAAACAUCACUUACGAUCAAAAUACGAGAAACGGUAUAAAAAUAUGCACGUUCCCAAGUUGUGUGGCACGUAAAGAAAUCAAUUUAUAAAGCCACAUAAACCAGCUCAUGAUUGACAAGUAAGCACUGAAAGCUUUUAUUCAAAUAAAGGGAGCUACAUAGAAAAACCUUAACUCUCCACCAUGCAAAAGAGUACGCGUCGAAAAACUCACAAGGCUCUCGAGUAGGAAAGUAUAAUAUCAACACACGGACCCACUUCCACGUAAUAACAAUCCGGGAACACUGCUUCCACCGGAUUCCCACAUGUCAUGGCAGUCUCGAUGAUGUUGGCCGACAUCGGAGAAUCAAGUGGUCACAACCGUGAAUAUCACUUGUGGCCUAGCCAUAUAUAACAACCCGUGGCCUUGCCACGUAUAUCAUAGACCAUGGCCCCAGCCAUGUCUAUCAGCUUAUCAGUGACUCAAAGGUUCUCUAGCUAAAGCUCACUUGUGCACAAGAGUACACUUAACUAAAGUGACAUUUGACCUAAUCUCAACACUCUCGGUUUGUCAAAAUUGUUUUCAAAACCAAAUCAAGUUUUUCAAGACUUUUUCUUUUAAAUCUUUUGAAAUCAAGGUUUGAUAACCGGUCAAAUUGCAUUUCUCAUUAAUUGGAAUGGUGUAAACACGUGUACAAAGGUCGAAAUAAAACCGGUGCUCAAAACUUGUAUUUAAAUCAUUUUAACAAAUGCAUUUAGCUUUGCAGAUCACACAAAAAUACAAGGCACGAAUUUUGAUGAAAACAUCAUAAAAAGGCUUGUUUCUCUGUUUCUAAAACACUUUACAUAUAUAGAUUAUCUAUAGGCAUAUCCAAACCAACUUUCAAAACAACUUGCAUCCACAAAAUACCUAGGAUUCUACCAACUCAUGCUUUCCACAAAUUUUGCAUUUAAAAUAAAUCAUCACAUAUAUAUAUUAUGGAAAUUUGGAAAUCGACACCCCCUACUCACCUUACAAUAGCAGGACGACACUUUAUCGUUAUUGAUUCGAGUGUGUAUCUAGCUAUUUCUACUUGCCGGUCACCCGUUACCUCGUCCGGCAUGCCACCACGGUAAACUUUUCUAGCAAUAAAUUAAACUCAAUAUAUUUAAUGUAUAUCAUUUCCACUUCUCUUUCUCAUUCAAUCAUAAAUCCUCAUUCUAUUAACUUGCAUCUUAACACGUUUUUGCUAAGGUUAUUCAUAUCCUUUGUUUGUGUAAUUCUUUAGAUUAUAAGUACCAGCAACUUAUUCAUAACUUUAGCACACAAUUUAAUCUUUUCCAAUGAUAUUUAUCAAGUUUAGCUAUCAUUUUCACACCAAUAACCUCGCAUAUGGCAGCAAUUAUAAAUCUAAUUUCAUCAAGCAUUUUGCAAGUUUACAUGCACCAUAAUUCACAUUUACUUGCUGCCUCCAAGCAUAACAUCAAUAUUCAUUCAUAUGCACUAACAUUCAUAAUCUUUUAAACCUUUCACAACAACACAUAUCCACACAUUACAUUUUUUUCAAGUUUUCAACUAUCAUAAUUGCAUUUAAUCGUACCCAUGACAUCAAAAUAACACUACACAUUGCAUGCCUUACCUUUGUGGUGAAUUUGACCUUGCAUGCAACCUUAAUGCUCUUCCAAUAUUCCACUCACCAAGCUACCAACAAUUGCACAAUCAUUCCUUACGAUAUUCAUCUAACCGUAGGCUUCAAAACAUAGUGUUAAGCUUGCCGUUUUUCUUUCACCUUGAACCCAUUAUGCACCCACAAGUUUGGUGGCUUGCAUGUCACCAAUUUUUCUCUAAUCAAGCUGAUCUUUGCUGCCACUAGACAUUUCUCUUAGUCAUCAACUCAUUUUCAAGGAUUACUCAAGCUAAAAACAAAAAUCCUUACCUUUCCUUGCUUGAAUCACAAAACCGAGCUUUAUACCUCCAUUGACUCUCUAUGGCUUCUCUCUUGAGUAUUGAAGGUUCCUUGAGUGAAACAACAACAUAAAUCUACAAGAUGAGGGAGGAAAUCUCACGGUUCCUCUUGGUUUUUUGCAAAACGGAGCCUUUCCUUCCUUUCUUGCUUUUUCUUUAUUUCUUUCUCUCAUUUCCUUUCUGUUUUCUUCUUUCUUUCCUCUUGUUUCUCUUUUCUUCUUGGUUAUGGGUGGACUUCUCAAGGCCAAGCCUUGAAAAUGGCUUUCAUUUUCUCAUUUUUCUCUCCCAUGGGUGGAUUGCCCAAGGUCAUUCACCUUUUUCUCUUCUUUCCUUUUCUUGUCUCUUUAUUUUUCCUUCAUGGGUGGAUUGCCCAAAAAUUGCUCAUUUUAGCAUUUUUCCUUUUUCCUUUUAUGUGGCAAAAUUGCAAGUCAAAAGGCCUUUGAACCAUUCCACUUGUCGUUCACUUUUCAUUGUCCAUUCUUUCUUCAUUUCUUUUUCAUCUCUUAUUUACAUGCCAUGCCAUUCAAUUACCUUUCUUUGUUUUCUUUCUAUUAAAUAUUAUAUUUAUGCCUUUUCUUCUCAAAUCACAUCACCUUAUUUACUUGUUUACAUGGGCUAUCUUUGCCAAACCAUGGUUUUCUCUAAUUAAAUAUUUUUUGAUUCUUUUUCUCUUGUCAACUUUCACAUGGUGGGGUACCAUAUGUUUUGUCACGACUCGGUACUCCCCUCGAGCCCGUGACAACCUCCACGACGUCUCGGUAGACAUUCGUUACCCGAAAUGCCAACCGGAACCCCGCAAGGCUUUAGUACCUUUUUUUUUCAUCUCCCCUGUGAGUAAUCAUCGCCAAACCACGUUUUUAAAAAAUUUUAAGCUUUUUCCCUUUCAAAACCGUGAAAAAAUAAUUUUCGCCUCACAGGGGCGUUUUUGUCAUUUUUCCUUAAAAUUUUCUAAACCUGACUAAAAAUGUAGUAGAUGACUGAAAAACACAUAUUUCAUGAUUUAAAAUAGAUUUGGGCGUCUAAAACAUUUAUUAAAAAUGACAUUGCAACUAUUUAAAUAAAAUAAUAAUAUUUUAUAAAAUAUUCUAAUUGCUUGUAAAACAAUAUUUAUAGUCAUCGGUAAAUAUUUUUUGUAAUGUAAAAGCUAAAUAAAUUCAUACGUACUAUAAUACAAAUAACCGGGAUAUGAAAUUUACUUUACAGUGACUCGUGGGCCAACAAGGAACAAAAGUGCACAAAGGCAAUAAACCUACAAUUUUUGGAGUAGUAAAGCCGACUAUAAUCCUUGACGAUAUUUGCUAUCCAUAGGCUACCUCGGGCCUGAAAUGGUUAAAAAGGUGGGUGGUGAGAUUAUAAAAUCUCAGUGAGUAAACAGAUACCAUCUAAAUCAUCUAAAGUCGAGUAAGUGGAGAUAGAUAAAACAGUUUAACAUACUGAAAUUCAUCACCUUUCAACUUGUUUCAACCAAAUAAAAUCAAUUCAUAUAAAUCGAGUAAUUAACAUGGCUUAUGAAUUUCUUAAAACUUUGGCUCGUGCCAAAAAUCAUUUUUAUACCCAGUUAUCAAGGAUGCCUUGAUCGAGGGCUAUCCCAACCGAGUCCGCCAAGGCUAAUAAAAAGUCAUGUACGCAUAAAUCAUAUUUUUAUUUUGAAAACAUAGUCGUUCCUUGGCGUUGGCUGAGUUCUCCCCACGUGGUGGUUGGGUAUGAAGUGAACUCUAAAGUUUGACCUCAGGAGUUACCCUACGCGCCUCUACAAUCGAGGUGCAUAUAUAUGACCAGGUUCCAUGCCCUUAUAAUAGGUUGGUCUACAGAACCAGCCCACUGCAGCAAGCUAAACCCACUAUAUAAUAAAAAUUCAACAGCAUGAUAUGACAAUUUUUUAAUUAUCCAGCCUAUCAAGGCAAACAAUAGUUUAUACAUUUCAACACAAAUACCAAUUUAGCCAUUCAUGCCAAUAUUGUCCUAAGCCAAACAAUUAGAACCAUAUAUUCACAAUACAUCAAAUGGUCUCCAAUUACUCUAUUUUCAAAGCCAUUAUUCAAUUUCAAAACAAUUUUUUGAAAUCAUUUCAUUAAAUCACAUUUGGUUUAUAAAAUCGAAAAAUUAAUCAUUUAAUUCAUUUUCCAUGAAAUUCACAAAAUCAGAUAAAAACCACUUUAGAUAAUUAAGACGAUAGUAAGGUUACUCACAGUACUAGGAGUUCGAUAUACUUCUAUUCUCGAUCUUCAAGCACAAUCUCUUUACCCCUGUUAGAGGGCUCACCACCUAUACAUCGUAUGUGACACGAAUUUCAAUAAAUUGUGUCAAUUUAUCAUAAACUAUUUCAGGCUCUAUAAAUCUAUGUGAAUGCACGAAAUGUGAUGCAAAAUGUGUGAAUAGUCGUUUACAUACGGUAUUCGAUCUAAUUCGCACUAUUCUCGGUGUAAUUGGCUAAAACGUCCAAUUUAACUCCAAAUCUAUUUCUUUCACUUUCUACACUCCAAUUAUACUUAAAAUACCUCAAUGAAUGUGAAUAUGAUUCAAUUUAUCAGUUUGAACCAUAAAUCGCACAUGUCUAUACAUUAGGUAAAAAUUCAGAUUUUCAUGCCAAAAUUUCCCAUUAAAUUUUUAGCCUCACCAAUCAUUAAAUACCACCAAAAUAUUAUGAAAUAUCAUCAAUUUCAACCUCAAUAUCCUCCCUAGAAAAUUCGGCCUCUUGUGGGUUUGUGAAGAACAAAGUGAUUCCUAGCUAGAUUUUCAUACUUUCCAUUACCAAACAACCAAAAACACUUAAUUAGCUUGAAAUCUAGCAAAAUCAAUGCUCAAAACCUCUCCUCUCAAAUUCGGCCAGUAUGGGUUCAUCAUGCAAACUUGAGUUCUAAGCAUGGAAAAUGAAAAAGAAAGCAUGCGUAGUGUAAAUCACAAGAUAAAAUCACAGAAUCUUACCUUUAUUAGCUUAAUCCCUUGAAAUCCCACACUUUUUCUUCAAUUUUCCCACCUAGGGUUUGUGGUCUUUCCUUUCCUCUUCACUUCAUGCUUUGGCC